AUGACUGCAAAGCUGGUGUAGUAAGAGAGGCAAGAAAUCCAGAGGGCGGCAGAGGUGGAAAGGAGUGGGCAGGUUGGAAGAUGGUGAGGAAGUAGCAUGGACAGGACUUGGUGUCCAGGUGGAUGUUGGGGGUAAAGGAGAAGGAGGGUUCAAGGAUCAUGCCUCGGCUGCUGGAACACCCUAUGAUCUCUUCCCUCUGCUGGCUUCUUGUUGCUUCUGACUGAACCCUUUCCACUUUUCUACCCAAAUAAUCGCUUGUUAUUCCAUACUCAGUUUGAGCAUCACUUCUCCCUGGAAAGCUUCUCUGACUGUCAGGAUUCCAGAGGAAAGGCAUGGCACAUUAUCACUGGGUAACUGACGAGCACUGUUAAAGGGACUAGUUAUAAAGGUGACAGCAGGGCUUAAGGAAACAAACGAUGGCACUGAACCUGAUGGCUAGUAGUCCUGUGACCAUCUGAGAGGCUGGAAAGCACCAGGGGAGAGAAGGUUACUAGGACACAGAGAAAGAGUCGGAGGAGAGGGCUGCUUGACCAGAGCUGUGUCCUUCAGUAGGGGAUACAGCCAGUCUACAAUGAUCCUGAAAGAAGGAAUUCCAGAGAAUGAACACUUCAGCCUUCUUUUCCUUCCUCUGGUUCAUCUUUGCUGUAGCUCCCCAUUGGCCAAAUCCAACUAGAAGCAGCAGGCACAGGAGCCCAUUGAGGCAGUCCCUGCAAUCAGCCCCCAGGGCACAAAGCAGCAUGGAGCGUGGGCCUGGAGAGGAAAGUGGGAGACGCCCACAACCCUUUCCCCGACCAACCCUAACCCCAGUCUAGAUCAGCAGCUUCUCCUGUUAGGGCCUCCUAUACCCUGUAAUUCUCGCUGUCAAGCAUUGCUCUAUCUGCCCCCCUCCACCUAGGCUGUGAGCUACUUGAGGGGGUUCUGCCACAUCUUAGCCAUCUUUGUAUCCUUGAUACCUAACACAGAGCUUGGCACUUGGUUAAGGCUCCAUAAAUGUUGAAUAAAAAUCCUCCUUUCAAAUGCAAAUUUCACAUAGAACGUAAACUUCUUAAUCUAUUGUCAGCUGGUGCCUCAGGGUGGUUUAUGGUAAGAAAGAACAAGUUUCUGCAUUAUAGGCUUGAAGUUAAAAGGCCCCCAGAGGACAUGUACUCACUGGUUUUAUUAUCUUUUUUUUAUUGAUCAGUGUGUCAUCAGUCAACAAGUAUGCAGCAGCUUUCUGUACAAGGAACCGGAAUUCCUACCAGAAAUUAACACGUGCUAGGGAGUCAUUUUCCUUUUGUAACAAAAGUAAUGCAAAGUAAUUGAAAGCAAUGACAUUAUUUCAUCCAAAUAGUAUAGGAUGGAUCAAGUAGAAAAAUGUGUUGGGAAAUUAAAUUUACUAGGUAAACACAGCCACAGAGAGCUCACAGCUGUUUACAGCUCAGUUGUAUUUAUGGGAUGACAUAGCCUAGCCAUCAGGCAUACUCGGGAUGACUGGGCUGUACAUUCUGGCAGUCUGUCCCAUCUGUUCCAGCUUCUUCAUUUUCACAGCCAUCCCAGGCCACCUCCUCUUUCAACCUGCCCUACACUGAGGAAGUGAGGAAGAUUGUUCUGGCAGCAAUUUUCAUCACAUCAUAUUAUUCUCCAGCCUUAUGUUCAAACUCUUUUGACAAGUAGCUCCCACUUCACUCUUAGUAAUCUAACAUGUCCCCUUGUAAUUGCUUCUCAAUCAUGCAUCUAUAGCUCCUCUCAUUGCUUAAUAUUAAAGGGAAUACAUCUGUCUUCACAUUGCUUUGAAUUCUCACCAUUCCCAUACCUAGUAGGCACUGAAGGGGGAUUUCUGAUUAAUAAUCCACUUAGAUAUACCUACCCCAUACAUGUCACCAUGGUAACUCUACACCUUGCUAAAAGUUGAUGGCAUAGUGUGUAAUGACUUGGCUUCUUCCCCAUUCAGCCACUAAUCCUGUAGAUGGAUUAUUUUGUUCCUACCCCCACAAAGCCUGGAGAGCUCUGUAGCCCAUGAAAAAAUCAGAAGAGUUGCCAGCCUGCUACCUGAUUCCUCUCUGCCUCCAAACACAAUGCAAAACAAGCUCCAGUUUCCAUGCUGAACAUAAAUAGAGAUUGUUCUUCAACUUCAGAAAUGUCCUUAGCCGAAAAUGUACAAGCCUAGCAGUUACAGGAAUUUUCUCUCUCCAUCUUACAGGGCAAUGGCUGAGGUCUUGGGAACUCUUUCAGGAAGCCCACUAGGGAGUGAACCUUCAUUUGUCCUGAUUGCCCUGUGUUACAGAGGGAGGGAAUGUCCCCCCAACCAGUAGCUAGAAACCAGGGCCAAACCCAUGAAAACUCAUGGAUUCAUUCCAUGCCUCCUUCUCUGAUAUCCUACUGCCAGGCACAGCCACCGUUUUGCACAAAUCUGGGUGAAUGGUGCCCCUGAGGCUGGAAACUAUGGUGGGCCUGGUGCUGAGCUUCAUCUUGAGCCUAGUGAAGAUGAUGCUACGCUUCUUGAGAGGCGCUCGGCCAUUUACCCUGUGCUGUGUCCCAGGAAGCCGACUGGUAUGGGCUGCAUUGAGUCUUUUGCCCUCCAACUUCCUAUUGGAUAAUGGGGACCUGUGACAAGAGGUUGGACAAUGAGAAGGAGGAGAGUGACCAGUGAACCUGCCUCCCUGCCAGUUUGCUGUGGGUUUGUUACUAGCAGCUGUUGCCCACCAGACAGUCCUCUCAGAGUUCAGGCAAACACUCUGAUGACCCUGGUGUUACUAGCCCCAGAGUAUUGCCCUAUCCCCUGUUGCCCUCAUCUUUCUAAAUGAUUCCUUUACUAAACUCCUUUGACUCAGUUUGAGUGUGCCAUAAUCUCUUUUUUGCAGUAACUCUGACCAUACAGUGGUAAAUAAGAUAAAGCCUUGGCCUCCUUGGAGCUUAGGUUAGUGUGGAACAAAGAAAGACAACAAAUGUGUUUGCAAAUACAAUCUAUGUAAUUUCAGAUAGUGACAAAAGCUUUAAAAAAAGAAAGUACACCAGGGUAAUGGAAUGGCUGGAGAGGGUCUAGGGAGGAGAGCUACUUUUCUUCAAGUAGCCAGGAAAGGCCUUUCUGAAGAGGUGACAUCUGACCUGGCACGAUGACAGUGAGAAUGAGACAGCCACACCAGCAUGUAGAGAACAAUCUAGAGGGGGGAACACUGAUGCAAACAGCCCCCAACAGGAAACAACUGGAACAGAAUGGAACCUACUGGACAAGGGGAGAGUGGCAGGAGCUGAGGUCAGGAAGGAAGGGCAUAAAAGAGUUUAGAUUUGAUCAUUAGGACACUGAGAACUUAUUGUAGGAUUUGGGCAGGGAGUUGUGAUGGUUACUAUCCUAACAGAAAUUAGAUGAAACAAUCAAAGGGUUUAACUGAAGACAAUGCAAUGAGAGGAUUAUUUUCUUAAAUGUGGGCAGGAUUAGGAAACUAAUAAAGGGUGGUGAAGCAUCCAGGAGCUAGCAACAGAGAGAAGCUCUUAUCAUGGGGAGAGGGUCCAGGUGCGGAUGAGUGACAUGGCACGCCUGGACUUCUGAGGACAAUGGAGCACACAGCGAUCUGAACAUUUGACACAAAUUACAGAGGCUGGAAAGAAAGAAUUUCACAUCUUCCAAUCAAUACCCUUAGUCCAAAUAUUUGUCAGCAAACUCUAACUGUUUUCAUAAACUUUAACGCCUUCAGGGCUCAGUCAGGAACCUGUGAGGAAUUCAGGUGAAAACCAAUAAUGAGCAGGGGGGCGGUGGUGAAAAGGUGAGGCUGGCCUUACUGAAGGGCAUUCAGAUGGAAGCAUUACACAGUCCUGAAUUCAGGAGAGCUGUCUGGUUCCUGGAGCCAAACUGCAGCUUCAGAGAUGAUUUAUUCAGCAAGUUUCCCAGCUUGCAAAACUUUCCAAAGUCCCCUUAUUGCUGUACAAUCAUUGCUGUUUGGGGGCCAGUAAAGCCCAUCAGGGGCUUAUCUGGGGUUAACAAAGGCGUCGCUGACUUGCACCUCUUUACCCUAAGGGGCAUCAUUUAGGUGACUCUUCCAAGUUGGCAAAAAUAGAUGCCUUCCAUACCAUUGGUCUUAAAUUUAGAGAGUGCAGAGUCCUUAUUAAGACUAAAUUGUAAGGAAAGAAAACACUUGUGGGGUUACCGAGGGCAAGUAAUUACACAUAGUCUUUUUUUAUUCCUCUUCUGGUUUCUGUCUCCUAGUAAGAUACAUGUAAAAACAACAACAAAAAUGAAGACAGGCAUUGCUCUCUUAAGACACCUCGGCUGCCUCUCACUGGCAUUCAUCUUAUCCUGUGGUUUCCAGGUGUUUUUAGCAGCAGAACUCUUUUUCCAGACAAAAUCUGCCAUGGAGCUUUAAUGGAUAACACAGGCAAAAUCCAAGUGGCCAUCUCCCAGACACCUCCACAGACCCUGAUUCCAAUCAUCUCCAGCAGGACUGUCCUGAAUGUGCGUAUGUGAGUGAGGUUUAUUGCGGUAUGAUUUUCAUACAGUAAAAUUCAAUACAACAAAACUGUAAUAACCGUCUUGUAAUAACUCCACAAUCAAGACACAGAACAGCUCCAUCACCCGCUAAAUUCCUUUGCACCCCUUUCUAGCAAAUCCCCUCACCUCAUCCCCAUCCCUGAUCUGAUUUCUGUCUCUAUAGCUUUACCUUUCCCAGAAUAUCAUAUAAACGGAGUCAUGCAGUGUGUAAUCUCUCGUGCCUGGUUUCUUUCACUUAGCCUGAUGCUUUUGAGGUUCAUUUGUGCUUUUGCAUACAUGAGUAUUUUGUUUCUUUUUAUUACAGAGUAGUCUAUUGUUCUUGUGGUAUUUUUCAAUGUCGUCCUUCAGCUUCCAAUUUCUUUUCUGUAUAAACUGUAAAGCUGCCCAUUCAAAUAAUUUUCUUUUUUCCUUGAAAUGCUAAGAUUGAAGCCCUGAUAACACCAUUGCAGAGGCACAAGUGGGAAAGAGCGUGCGUGACCUGAGAGGUGUCCUUGCUGUGCCAUGCUGCUGCAUCAAAGCCGCUCACAGAGCUGGCUCCCGAGCCUCCAAGUGCCUCGUCUCUUCCCAGGACUAGAAGUCCUAGGAAUUGUCUAAUCAAAGGAAGGAAGUACUGCUUGGAUUCCCUUUUUAUUGUAUUUUCAAUUAUAAUUAAGAGACAAAUUUUUAAACCAGGAAAAGAAUAUGAGGGAAUGUGUUUGUUCAGAAAUAUACCUAGGCCGCUAAAAGUCUUCCAAGGGCAAAGAUGUGCCUAAAAUACAAUUUCCAUACAAAAACUUAAACCAAAAAUCUCAGCUUUGUCCACUGCACGUGUGACCACACAGUUGUAACAAUCUUUUGGAUUCUCAAUUCUGCCAUCUCAUAAGUAGCUUUUAUCCCCCUCUCAAAGGCCAUACCACUUGUGGAUGCUCUCAUGUCUAAAGAAUCUACCAGAGCAGUCAAGGGCACUUUCCUUCCUCCUCCCCAGCCCCACUCUUACAGUACUCCAGGAGACUGAGGCAUCUCAUUCUCUGCUCCCUUUAAAAUAUUUUUGUUCUGGGUUUUAUUUCUUUAAUUUGUCAUGUUUUAAAGAUGCUUUAAUAUUUAUGAACUACCCCCAGACACUUUCUUGAAAUAGAUGGAGUGUCAUUGAUAAAAUAAAUGUUAUGAGAAUUAAGCGCUGUAUUUCUUAUCAUUUUGAGUCCCCCUAAUAUUUCGCUUGUGCUGAAAAUAAUGGCUCCUCCCUGUCCUGUCUGCUUUGAGCUGAGCUAGAUCCAUGCAGUUUGUCAUUGCUCCUGAAAGUGAGUUUGACUUCUUGAGACAGGAAGGAGGGAGAUAGGAAAGUCAUCAUUUAAAAGAGAGUGUGUGACCCUAGAGGCAUUUAUUAGGUCAUUUAGGCCAACACAUUUUGAGUCAUUCUUCUCUGCAGACCUGUGCAGUACCCUGAGGCUACAAAAACAGUUGUUGCAGCUGACAGCAAGAACUGUGACUACAAUAUCAUGGAAAAAGCUGUCACUCAGACCCCAAAUGAAGAAAUGUGGAGUCCUGUUUCUUCCAGCUGUAAAUUGCCUCAAAACCAGCAGACAGCAGCUGGCGUAACCAGACAAUGGAAACUAAGUUGAGGAAAUUAAGACAUCGAGUGACUCAAUGAAUAAGGAGAAGUACAAUUGUCACCCCAGUCAAGGAGAGGAAACUGAGGUUCAGGGAGAUUACAUUACUUCUCUAACAUGGCAUAGCUGGAAUUUGAACCCAGACCACUAUGUUCUAAUGCUUCUCCAUGUAAGUAAAAGCCCAAACCACUGUACAAUGAAUUCUCUUUGCCUUUUACUGCCAAACAGUGACAGAAUCACAACUAUUCCUGUGUAUAGAAAGGUUUUUUUUUAGAGACAUAACAGUUGUUAGUGGCUCUCAGUAAUGAUUGUCAAGAUACUUUGUUUUUGAAAUGCCACUUAAAAAACCCAAGAUAUUAUUUAGACCCAAACAAGAGACUAUGGAGUAAAUAUCUAGUUUUCUGUUUCAUUAAAAAAUUCUAUUAUCUGUAAUUCUUGAAGAUAACAUCACCUGCCCUUUGGACAAUUCCUAUCAAUUUUAAUUUGUCUUGUUACUCUCCACUCUCCCUACCCUCCCACUCACCUGAAGGCUGUUAUGGAAACUGCCGUUCAAUGGCCUGGCUCCCUGCCACCUCACCCCCAGCUGUAGUGAGCCUAUUGCCUAUGGGAUUGGAUCCAAAUUCAUCAUGUCAAAGCCCUCAUUAAUGUGGUUUCAUCUUACUUAUCCAUUCUUAUUUCCUUCAAUUUGUCCACAUCUACCCUGACUUUCAACCUAGAGCAACUCCUUUCUGCCCUUCGGAUAUGCCCUGCUUACUCCUUCUGAUUCCACACCUUUGAUCAUGCAGUCCCCACUCUGCGAAGUACUCAACUCCAACAUAUAAAGACCCUUCAAGACCCAUUUCUUCCUUGAAGCCAACUAUUUUAGUACACCCCCAUCUUGCUUUCCCCUAACUUUCUUCCUAUUUCAAAUAUAGCUAUUAACAGUUAGUUGAGCUAUCAAUUAUUCUUUAAGGCAUUGCUAAACAGGUGACAUUUGGGACCCCCAAAUAUAUUGUCACCUCCUUAAGGACAGGGCCCACCUUAAGUGUUCUCUUAUAUCCUCCAGAAUAUCCAGCACAAUGCGGAGGAAACAUUAGGUACUCAAUAUAUACUCACCGGGUAAUGAAGUUUGGAAAUAGUCAAACUUGCAUUUAAAAAUCUUAGGUUUUUAAUUUAUAGCACACUUAUUAAUUUUAUAAUUUUAUUUAAGUAAUACUCUAAAACAAUCUGAAUGUACAACAGUAAGUGUUAUUUAAGGAAUAAUACAUCCAUACAAUGGAAAUAAUAUGUAGCUAUUUUAAAAAGUGUUCUUUAGUUUAAUGAGAUCCCAUUUGUCAAUUGUGGCUUCUGUUGCCAUUGCUUUUUGUGUUUUAGACAUGAACUCCUUGCCCAUGCCUAUGUCCUGAAAGGUAACGCCUAGGUUUUCUUCUAGGGUUUUUAUGGUUUUAGGUCUAACGUUUAAGUCUUUAAUCCAUCU
rnacentral:lncRNA from 1 species